rnacentral:rRNA from 1 species
GAGCUUCGGUUCUGUUCUAGCGGCGGACGGGUGAGUAACGCGUGAACAAUCUGUCCCAGACUGGGGGAUAACACUUGGAAACAGGUGCUAAUACCGCAUAAGACCACGACCUCGCAUGGGGUUGAGGUAAAAGGAGCAAUCCGGUUUGGGGUGAGUUCGCGUCCCAUUAGCUAGUUGGUGAGGUAACGGCCCACCAAGGCGACGAUGGGUAGCCGACCUGAGAGGGUGAUCGGCCACACUGGAACUGAGACACGGUCCAGACUCCUACGGGAGGCAGCAGUGGGGAAUAUUGGGCAAUGGGGGAAACCCUGACCCAGCAACGCCGCGUGAGGGAAGAAGGUUUUCGGAUUGUAAACCUCUGUCCUCAGGGAAGAAACAAAUGACGGUACCUGAGGAGGAAGCCCCGGCUAACUACGUGCCAGCAGCCGCGGUAAUACGUAGGGGGCAAGCGUUGUCCGGAAUGACUGGGCGUAAAGGGCGCGUAGGCGGCUCAAUAAGUCUGGAGUGAAAGUCCUGCUUUCAAGGUGGGAAUUGCUUUGGAAACUGUAGAGCUUGAGUGCGGAAGAGGUAAGUGGAAUUCCCAGUGUAGCGGUG